rnacentral:siRNA from 1 species
GCGGCAAUGCGGUUUGAGGCAG